GUUUUAAAACGUCUAAUGAGGAGCAGACAGAAAUUGUCAGCUUGCUCCCAAGCAGGUUAAAUUCAGCCUAUUUGAUCAUAAAGUUCUGAAACUGAAUUUAUGAACAGUCACUGAGCCAUGCAGCUAAUCAUGAGCUGCUGUUCAAGAAAAUGAAAGGAAAUUAAUGUCUGCACAGCACCGUGCAAAGAGGACCUUCUGAAGAAACUAGCAUCCUGGGCCAAGGCUAACUAAAGAGAUGGAGGAAAACAGCUUUAAGAAGAAGGCCUAAAACUCAACUUUCCCAAAGAAGCUUUCUGGGUCCAGUUCCAGAGUUAAACCCUGAUGCAACAGCAGAACAAGCCUGGUGUUCUUGGUAUGAAGCAGCUCCCCAUCUGUUUCCAUCAUCAGUGUCUCCUGGGCCUUGAAUUUCAUCCUUGAUACCUGACCCAGAAUUCAGAUCUCCACAUGAACCAAGAAGUUAGAAGCUGUUUUUUCUCAACGGGUUUCUCCUUCAUAGCCAAAGCACCCAAUGUACAAGAAAAUGAGGUCAGCCCUAAGAAGAAUGG